UACAGAGGGUGCAAGCGUUAAUCGGAUUUACUGGGCGUAAAGGGCGCGUAGGCGGCCACUGCGAGUCAGUUGUGAAAUCUCCGGGCUUAACUCGGAAAGGUCAACUGAUACUGCAGGGCUAGAGUGCGGAAGGGGCAACUGGAAUUCUCGGUGUAGCGGUGAAAUGCGUAGAUAUCAAGUGGAACACCAGUGGCGAAGGCG
rnacentral:rRNA from 1 species